UACGAAGGGGGCUAGCGUUGCUCGGAAUCACUGGGCGUAAAGCGCACUAGGCGGCUUUCUAAGUCAGGGGUGAAAUCCUGGAGCUCAACUCCAGAACUGCCUUUGAUACUGGAGAGCUUGAGUCCGGAAGAGGUGAGUGGAACUCCGAGUGUAGAGGUGAAAUUCGUAGAUAUUCGGAAGAACACCAGUGGCGAAGGCGGCUCACUGGUCCGGUACUGACGCUGAGGUGCGAAAGCGUGGGGAGCAACAGG
rnacentral:rRNA from 1 species